AUGUUUAGCCACCAAAUGUCCUCACACCAGUUGGUGGUGUAUCCCCAAACAAAAUCGGAGGAUGGAGAGCCUUGUGUAGCGGCGAAUGUCCGAUUCAAUUCGGUGCACGCAGCGGCUCAUGCAUUCGCGUACUGGGAUGGCCCCUGCAUCUACUAUCGGUGUUGUCGCCUGCAGAUGUGGUACGCUACACUUGACAUGUUGCCAGCCCCGUCUUCUCCUUCACCAACCGUUGUCAAGGACAACCGUGACACCGCCGCUGCGUUCGGCCCCGAGCCCGUGGUCGACCUCAACAACUCCACCGUGGCCAUCUCUGGUCACGACAAAGAGUCCGUCGGGGCCUUCAGCCUCCCUGCGGCGGCCAGCACCAGCACGCCUAAGUCUUCCCUCGACAGCGACUGCCACGUCCCGGUCGCGGGCACGGACGAGUACACAUCUGUGGCGGCAAUUCCAGAAGUCGUCACCGAGCUCGCCGUCUUCCCCGGCAUCUCCUCCACCACCAAGUCCCAGGAGGUCCUCCAGGUCAUCCACGACGCGCCCCCUGCCUGCAUCGCGAUGGCGCACGUCACCUAUUCGACGGAACGCUCGCACCAGGUCGCCACAACCGACAUCCUCAAUGAGGGUUUGAGACUCGUCCUGGAUGAUGCCAUUGCGGAGCUCACGCAUACGGUGACCCCCAUCAAAAUCUUCCCUGAGAUCGUGUCCCUGGAGGUGUGUGGCACAUGCCAAGGUGUUGACGCCAUCGAUGUCAGCUCUCCCACCGCGUCUGCAUUCACUGGGUCACCGGUGUGGCCUAGCUCCAACUCCGGCAACCUUGAAUAUUCACUGCCAUCAAGACACAAGGAUGUACAGCAAGUGUUGGAGCCAAUGUCGUUUGACAAGCCUGAAGAUGCUGCUGCUAAUGUGAAGAAGCACAAAGAUGAUGCAAAGCUGACAGUACUUACACUCGUCCUGAACCCAUCAACUUGGUAUGAACAUUUCAGUCCCCGAGACCCAUGUUUUGUUUCGUUCGAGGCCCAGUUGGUAUUUGAGGAGCAUAUGAGGUCUGAACCGUGUCUAACAUGGCCACCACUAGUAGGAGCUAAUUUCAGUGAGUUAUGUUCAUCAGGGCAGUUUGAUUCAGAUUGCACACUGUCAUUAUUCCCUUGGAAUCCAGGUGGUUAUUUGCUCAAGCAUAGCAAUCGGAUGACCAGAGUGUUUAUUACUGCUAAUUCACAAUGGCCUAUUACCCGUGUAAUUGAGGAGUCCAGUCAGUGCUUUCCUCAGAUUGUAAAAAUAUAG
rnacentral:rRNA from 1 species